rnacentral:tRNA from 1 species
UCCGCGAUAGCUCAAUCGGUAGAGCAACCGGCUGUUAACCGGUUGGUCGUAGGUUCGAAUCCUACCCGCGGAGCCA